AAAGCUGGCGUCUUCGGCGUCCGCGUUGUAAUCUCGAGACGUGUUUUCCGUGCGGCUCUAUGGACAAGUCCCUUGGAACAGGGCAUCGUAGAGGGUGAAAAUCCCGUACUUGCCAUGGAAGUACCGUGCUUUGUGAUACACGCUCCAAGAGUCGAGUAGUUUGGGAUUGCUGCUCAAAGUGGGUGGUAGACUCCAUCUAAAGCUAAAUAUCGGGGAGAGACCGAUAGCGAACAAGUACCGUGAGGGAAAGAUGAAAAGCACUUUGGAAAGAGAGUUAAAAGUACGUGAAAUUGUCGAAAGGGAAGCACUUGAAGUCAGCCAUGCUGCUUGAGACUCAGCCUGGCUUUUGCUUGGUGUAUUUCUCGGUAGCAAGCCAGCAUUGGUUUGUGUCGUCGGAGAAGCGUAUGGGGAAUGUGGCAUCCUCGGAUGUGUUAUAGCCCUGUGCAGGAUACGACGACGUAGACCAAGGAACGCAGUGUGCCC
rnacentral:rRNA from 1 species